UACAACCUCCCCUUCUUAUGAAAUUUCGCCCUCGAAAUUAGGGUACGUACGUGGUAUGUCGAAUAGGUGAGGAUAUCUUAACUUUAUCUCAGAUUCUAACUCCCAAGUCAUUUCUUCCACGUCGUAGUUUCUCCACAAAACUUUAACUUGAGGUAUAACCUUGGAGCGUAGAAUAUGAUCCUUCUUAUUUAAGGUUUUAACAGGUAACUCUUCAUUCGUUAAAUCUUCCUCUAUCUCGUCCGGUUCUAAUUCAAUAAUGUGAUUCGGGUCUUCCACAUAUUUACGUAACAUGGAUAUGUGAAACACGUUAUGAACACGAGACAUACUUGGUGGUAAAGCGAGUCUAUACGCCUCAGUUCCUACUCGAUCGAGG
rnacentral:lncRNA from 1 species